rnacentral:rRNA from 1 species
CCGCCCGUCACAUCAUGAAAGCCGUUUGUACCCGAAGUCCGAUGUGCCGACCGCAAGGAAGCAGGUGGCCGAAGGUAUGGAUGGUGAUUGGGAGUG